rnacentral:rRNA from 1 species
UACGAAGGGGGCUAGCGUUGUUCGGAAUUACUGAGCGUAAAGCGCACGUAGGCGGAUAUUUAAGUCAGGGGUGAAAUCCCAGAGCUCAACUCUGGAACUGCCUUUGAUACUGGGUAUCUGGAGUAUGGAAGAGGUGAGUGGAAUUCCGAGUGUAGAGGUGAAAUUCGUAGAUAUUCGGAGGAACACCAGUGGCGAAGGCGGCUCACUGGUCCAUUACUGACGCUGAUGCACGAAAGCUAGGGGAGCAAACAGGAUAGAAACCCU